rnacentral:snRNA from 1 species
AGCUUUGUGCAGGGGCAGUAUCAUGGCCCUUGAAGCUGAUCUGAGACACGAUUAUUACUAAUUGAAAACUUUCCCAAAAAGGGAAAACUCUUUAAUUCACGUAAAAAUUAUGCACAGGUU